UGGUAAACAAGCCCACAUCCUUCAUUUUUCCAAUUCCGACGAUCUGCUGCUCCGGCAAGCGGUGCCCAGAGUUACUGCGGGGGCGAGGAGUGGCCGUUGCGUGCUAGGAACAGAGCCACCCGUUGUUGCGCUCCUCGCCAUGGGGGCCCGCCACUAUGAGCGGUGACCGGAGCUGAGCGGGCUGCAGUCACGACAGUGCUGCAACCAGCGCUCGUCACCAUGGCCACCCGCAGCUAUAGUACAACGAGCGGGAUGCCUUAAAUGGAAAAGACAAUGGAUAUCCAUUGUGGCCUGCAGUAGACCAGUCAAGGGUAUCCAUGCAGUGGGAAUGCAUAUCCGCCGACGCCAACCAUUGACUGGUUUUACCUUAGUCUGUAUAGUUUUCAGAUGAAAAUUAUCCAAAAUGUAGUGAAUGUUGUCCGUUUUAUAUGAAAUCAGCCGUCUUUGUAUGA